UAAGGAAUAUUGGACAAUGGAGGCAACUCUGAUCCAGCCAAGCCGCGUGAAGGAAUAAGGCCCUAUGGGUUGUAAACUUCUUUUAGACGGGACAAAACCCCUUUACGUGUAAAGGGUUGAUGGUACUGUCAGAAUAAGCAUCGGCUAACUUCGUGCCUGCAGCCGCGGUAAUACGAAGGAUGCAAGCGUUAUCCGGAAUUAUUGGGUUUAAAGGGUGCGUAGGCGGACUAAUAAGUCAGUGGUGAAAGCCUGCAGCUUAACUGCAGAAUUGCCAUUGAUACUGUUAGUCUUGAGUACAGUUGAGGUAGGCGGAAUGUGUCAUGUAGCGGUGAAAUGCUUAGAUAUGACACAGAACACCGAUUGCGAAGGCAGCUUGCUAAGCUGUAACUGACGCUGAGGCACGAAAGCGUGGGGAGCAAACA
rnacentral:rRNA from 1 species